AACGUAAUAUGAGGGUUAAAUGGCACUGAUUUACCGGUUACCGUAGCAACUGUAAGAAAACUUGCUGACUCUAUUGUACAGUACGGGCCCGAAGGGAGACGGCCGUCCUGACGCUGCCUUUUUUGGAUUGUGUUUUUUUCGAACGAAACACACCGGGAUGGUGACGAGAACUCUGGGAUAUCUGCUGUAGCCUGUUUACUCAGAAAUCCCACUGACGCCAACUGAAAUCAGACCUAAUCUCACCCACACACACACACUGUACUCUGCAUCGUCUGCUUCAGCUCUCUGUGUGUGUGUGUGUGUGUGUGUGUGUGUGUGUGUUUCAGGAAUGUGUACUCUCACCCACACACACUAUAUUCUGCAUCUUUCUCACCACUAAGCACUCUGCCUCUGGUGUGUGUGAGACAGAGAGGAUUUGUGGUUUAACACACACUGUGAUGUGUGUGUGUGUGUGUGUGUGUGUGUGUGUGUGUGUGUGUGUGUUCAGCACACAUCAGGAACGUGCACGGCUAUGCAAACUCUGGAAACUUGAUUUUUCUUGGGGUACAAUCAUAAAUGAACGUCAAGGUUGUUUAAAAAAAAAAAAAAGUCCCUGAAAUCCCAGGAGUGUGUGUGCUGAUGAUGUCAGUUUUAGUCAUAUCAAGUACACACACACACGCGCGCACACACACACACAGACGAGGACGUUAAAAAAAAAAAUAGAAAAACUUACUGUGGCAUAAUGUGCCAAAACAUCGACCAAGCAACACCAGGUCUCUCACACACUUAUCUUAUCAGAAGGACAAAACAGUAAUGCAGAGCAGAGAACAACGCUGUAGUGGUAUUUCUGGCUCACUGCUGUAGCGCGUCACGCCUCAUUAACUGGGUUAUUCUGAAAGGAUUUAUAUGGGAAAAGUCUUCAAAGUAUCCGAUGUGAAACAUUGUGUUUAGGAAGGCGGGGAGACUGAAUAACAGCAGGUUAAAGGCAUUGGGAGGAAAGGUAUGAAGGCAGCAGGACAGAAGGGCAGCAAGGAAGAAAAGUAGAAAGGCAGCAAGGAAGAAAGGCAGCAGGGCAGAAUGGCAGGAGGAGGAAAGGUGGAAAGGCAGCAGAACAGAAUGGCAGUAGGAAGAAAGGUAGAAAGGCAGCAGGGCAGAAUGGCAGUAGGAAGAAAGGCAGCAGGGCAGAAUGGCAGUAGGAAGAAAGGCAGCAGGGCAGAAUGGCAGUUGGAAGAAAGGUAGAAAGGCUUCAGGGCAGAAUGGCAGUAGGAAGAAAGGUAGAAAGGCUUCAGGGCAGAAUGGCAGUAGGAGGAAAGGUAGAAAGGCUUCAGGGCAGAAUGGCAGUAGGAGGAAAGGUAGAAAGGCAGCAGGGCAGUAGGAAGAAAGGUAGAAAGGCAGCAGGGCAGAAUGGCAGUAGGAGGAAAGGUGGAAUGGCAGCAGGGCAGAAUGGCAGUAGGAGGAAAGGUGGAAUGGCAGCAGGGCAGAACGGCAGAAAGGCAGCAGGAGUCUGGGUUCUAUAUAUAUUUAUUAUUAUUAUAAUUUUUGUCCUCGGAUUAUUAGAAAACCUCUAUAUAUAAACCUUGGAACUUGGCCGAAUCUUGCUGACACUGAAAUAUUUCUCCAACACAAACUUUUUUUUUUAAAUAAUCGAG
ensembl:lncRNA